GAUGAACGCUGGCGGCGUGCCUAAUACAUGCCAGUCGAGCGAACGGACGAGAAGCUUGCUUCUCUGAUGUUAGCGGCGGACGGGUGAGUAACACGUGGAUAACCUACCUAUAAGACUGGGAUAACUUCGGGAAACCGGAGCUAAUACCGGAUAAUAUUUUGAACCGCAUGGUUCAAAAGUGAAAGACGGUCUUGCUGUCACUUAUAGAUGGAUCCGCGCUGCAUUAGCUAGUUGGUAAGGUAACGGCUUACCAAGGCAACGAUGCGUAGCCGACCUGAGAGGGUGAUCGGCCACACUGGAACUGAGACACGGUCCAGACUCCUACGGGAGGCAGUAGUAGGGAAUCUUCCGCAAUGGGCGAAAGCCUGACGGAGCAACGCCGCGUGAGUGAUGAAGGUCUUCGGAUCGUAAAACUCUGUUAUUAGGGAAGAACAUAUGUGUAAGUAACUGUGCACAUCUUGACGGUACCUAAUCAGAAAGCCACGGCUAACUACGUG
rnacentral:rRNA from 1 species